GCUUUCAUUACUUGCAUAUGUUCAUCGUGGGGAAGAGUCAAAAGAUCUAUAUAAAGCUAUGAUUGCUGCAAAAAUAAUCAAAGGUUUCUGGGAUGAUUGUAAUCAACAAGACUAUGUAGAAAAAGCAAGGAUUUUGUGUUUUUCAAUGUGAUGUGGCAUUAAAACUAAGACUAUAAAGAUGGUGUAUUAAAAUAAAUGAUUUCUUCACUGAGGAAUUUUUGCACUUGAUAAAUUUCUAGAAGAGGAAGAAGCUAUUCUAGCCAUUGCUCAGUACGUUAAAACUCAUCCCAGAGCAACUGAGAAAGAACUGCAGUUAGAAGUUGAGAAACAAAUUAAUCUAUUUGUUGAAAAAAUAAAAGAAACUUAGAUGUACUUUUA